rnacentral:rRNA from 1 species
GACGAACGCUGGCGGCGUGCUUAACACAUGCAAGUCGAACGGAAAGGCCCUGCUUUUGUGGGGUGCUCGAGUGGCGAACGGGUGAGUAACACGUGAGUAACCUGCCCUUGACUUUGGGAUAACUUCAGGAAACUGGGGCUAAUACCGGAUAGGAGCUCCUGCUGCAUGGUGGGGGUUGGAAAGUUUCGGCGGUUGGGGAUGGACUCGCGGCUUAUCAGCUUGUUGGUGGGGUAGUGGCUUACCAAGGCUUUGACGGGUAGCCGGCCUGAGAGGGUGACCGGCCACAUUGGGACUGAGAUACGGCCCAGCCUCCUACGGGAGGCAGCAGUGGGGAAUAUUGCACAAUGGGCGGAAGCCUGCUGCAGCAACGCCGCGUGCGGGAUGACGGCCUUCGGGUUGUAAACCGCUUUCGCCUGUGACGAAGCGUGAGUGACGGUAAUGGGUAAAGAAGCACCGGCUAACUACGUG